GCAGCCAUCUAGGAGAAGCUGGGG
rnacentral:piRNA from 1 species